rnacentral:rRNA from 1 species
AWCGGSMGUUSUACAMUGCAAGUCGAACGGCAGCACAGAAGAGCUUGCUCUUUGGGUGGCGAGUGGCGGACGGRUGAGUAAUGUCUGGGAAACUGCCCGAUGGAGGGGGAUAACUWCUGGAAACGGUAGCUAAUACCGCAUAACGUCGCAAGACCAAAGUGGGGGACCUUCGGGCCUCACACCAUCGGAUGUGCCCAGAUGGGAUUAGCUAGUAGGUGGGGUAAUGGCUCACCUAGGCGACGAUCCCUAGCUGGUCUGAGAGGAUGACCAGCCACACUGGAACUGAGACACGGUCCAGACUCCUACGGGAGGCAGCAGUGGGGAAUAUUGCACAAUGGGCGCAAGCCUGAUGCAGCCAUGCCGCGUGUAUGAAGAAGGCCUUCGGGUUGUAAAGUACUUUCAGCGGGGAGGAAGGCGGUGAGGUUAAUAACCUUGUCKAUUGACGUUACCCGCAGAAGAAGCACCGGCUAACUSCGKGCCAGCAGCCGCGGUAAUACGGAGGGUGCAAGCGUUAAUCGGAAUUACUGGGCGUAAAGCGCACGCAGGCGGUCUGUUAAGUCAGAUGUGAAAUCCCCGGGCUUAACCUGGGAACUGCAUUUGAAACUGGCAGGCUUGAGUCUCGUAGAGGGGGGUAGAAUUCCAGGUGUASCGGUGAUAUGCGUAGAGAUCUGGAGGAAUACCGGUGGCGAAUGCGGCCCCCUGGACGAAGAYUGACGCUCAGGUGCRAAAGCGUGGGGGAGCAAWCRGGAUUAGAUACCCUGGUAKUCCACGCCGWAACRAUGUCGACUYGGAGGUUGUGCYCUUGAGCKUGCUUCCGGASCUAAMSCGUAAGYYACCGCCCUGGGGAKYAWCGACSGYAAGRUC